AGAUGGAGUCCUUUACUUUGCUAAAGAGUAUAAUGGCAGUGCAUCAUCUCAGAUUUUACCUGUAAUCCCAUUGUUCCGAUCCAGUUCCAGAAUCACUUACUCUGAUAUCCUGAAAUUACUUGUUAAUUGACUUACGGAAAUUGGGGAUCUGAUUUGGGUCCCUAAGCUUGUCGAUUUUACCAACAACCAAAGAAAUUGUCCUGACAGAGUAAAUGUAGUUAAUGAGUUCCCCAGGUUCAUUUCCAUGGCAAUCACACAGAGCAAGAUGUACAAAAGGAGAGUGAAUGCUCCUCUACUGUAAACAUGAAACCAGGCUGGACAAACUGGAGAAAACGUUUUUUAACCUUAUUCUCUGCUAAGGUGAUUGUGAACAGUGGGUUGCCUUAGGUCGUGCGCGAACGUCAGAGUCGGACAGGAAUGGUUCAACUAAACAAUCGACUGACCACCUAAAGGGAG